rnacentral:piRNA from 1 species
UCUUCAGUAUGGGUCAAUCUC